AUGGAGGUUGAGCCGGCCACGCCUGAGGAGGUGGCCACGGAUGAGGACGUGGUGCCUGAGGAGCCCCCUUGCAGCAAGUGUCGUAACUACGGCCACUACCAUGAGGAGGGAGGUCCAACCCACUCCUGCAAGGUGAUCCUUGCCCCUCAGCUUGAGUGCAUCCCGAUGCCCCUGGACUUCACCAAGCACUUCCCGGCGGUGCCGCAAGAGUUCAAGCUCAGGGCCAACACCGGCUGCUCAUGGAAGGUGACUGUCCGGCUGAUGGACGGUAGGGUGACCCUCGAUCAAGGUUGGGCCCCCUUCGCCGCCAUCCAUCAGAUCAUGAUCGGCUACAUAGUGACGUUCAAGCUGCUCACUCCGGACAUGCUCAAGGUCAUCGUCUUCAACGACGAAGGCAUUGAAGUGGUCACCAAGUGCAGCAAGCAUGACAAGGCCUUCACCGUCAACGUCUAG
rnacentral:rRNA from 1 species